rnacentral:misc_RNA from 1 species
GGGAGAUGUGAGGAACAAACUUUCUUAAAUAUGGUUGAAUACAAAUUGGCAUUGUAUAGUAUCACCAACUGGAGGAGAGUGUUGUGGAUCCAAGAUGAAACAGUAAGCCAAAAAUUGUUAAGGUACUGAUUAGUAUUCCACCAACAAGAAUCCUAUCAACGACGCCCCACUCAUCCAGCCUUCCUCCAGCCGAUCCCUGCUUUCUCUCAGUUACUAUGGAACUUUCUCUCUCCUCCCUUUUGGGAACAUGGCUCUUCCGUCUCCUCAAUAGCCAUUCAAUCAGAUUCUUCCGUUUUGGCUCUUCAGGCAAUGGGAUAUUCCUUGAGGAAUCAUCUUUAUCAUCCAAAGCCACUGCUCCUUUGCAGCUUUC